ensembl:lncRNA
AUCCUUUUCCUUCUCCUGGGGAGUGCCCUUCCUUCAGCUUCCAGCCUCCUCACAGUCAGGUGUGGCCACAGAAGGUGGGAGCUCCAGGCCGGGGGUAGGGAGUGACGUUUGCCACGCCCGGAGCUGGUCCUUUCUGCUUUCUGUGCGGAAGUCUCCGCUGUGCCUUCUCCUUGGGUCUGCUGGCCAGGUCACAUGCCUUGUUUUCCACAGAGUGCUUGGUGCAUCUGGAUGUUAGACCCUGCUAAGACCUCCACAAGUUUGACUAUGAUGUAUUUUCCUGAUGCAAGAAUAUAGACAUUUUCACAAAGGGAAAAUGUAGUACAACAGAAAGGUUAGAAAUUCUUUGUUAAAAGUCAUCAGCUUGCAACAUU